UGUUUUGGGUAUCUCUCUCUAGCUACUUCUUCUUCUUCUUCUUCUAUUUUCCUUUUUUUUUGUUUUUGUUCUUCGGUGUGGUGUGUGAUACUAUUCUUCAAUCUCCCUGAUUUCGUUUUCAAACCGAUCAUCUUCGCUAUAUUCUUAUUCUAGGGUGUUUUGAUAUCGAAUUUAUGAUGAUCCGAUCAUCAUCAUCAUCGCUCCUCCUACGGUUUAUGGAGGAUAUUAAAACGCUCUGAUCGAUUGCACAGUGGGGUUCGCUCUUUUGUUGAAUCUUUCUCUUCAUCAUCUGUUUUGGUGUUUGAUCUCUCGGUGGGUGAUGCUUCUGAUGGCUCCUUGUCUUCUAUGCGCGCUACAUCUUCAGACCAUCGUGUUCUCCUGUGUCUUCUAGUGUUUUUUUAGAUUCUCUUGAUGCAUACACACAUUCAGAUAAUCAUUCAAUGACCCUGAAGUCGCAGCUACAGGAGUUAACUCCGGAAAAGCAGGGUAAUACACUUUGAGGGGCUUGUCUCGUGUUUGUUGCUAAUCUAUUGGUGUUCUGAUCUAUGUAACCAGGGGUAACAGCAAUUCAGAUAGGCUUCAGAUGCAAAGCUCUACCGACCUGACUGUGGAGGAUGCUUUGCUCGGUGGGUGAUGGUUCUGAUGGAUCCCUGUCUUCUCUGCGCUACCUCUUAAGAUGCGUUCUUGCUGUGUACACGACAUUCAGAUGAGAGAUCGAUGAUCCACUGAUUAUCCUCUACACGAAUCGUGGAGGCACCGGGGGGACUGACAUGGUUUGCCUUGAAGGUCUUAGACCAAGUCUCCCUAAGCCAAAAGUACACUCUCUUCUUUUGACACUCUUGUAGUUAGAUCACAAGGAACUAAGGUUUCUGUGUGGGAGUGCGAUUGAUUUCUGAGUUCAACUUUCAGAUGAUGUUGCUGUCAUGUCUCAGUUUAUCUUGAAGGAUUCCUUUGCUGUGUCGUUACUCCAUGUUGCCUCUUUUGACAGUCUCCCUUUGUUAUAUCCCAGGCAGCAUCAAGAACCUGAAGCCUCCUUGGCAGGCUUUGAUGGAAACACUUCUUCGAUGUGCUACGUUUUCAAGGGGUGUUUUGGAACCCAAUUAUGAUAUGAUCAUGGCGUAAUCUUCUCCAGGCUGCUACGUCUUCAGGCACGUUCUCACAGAUUUGUGGAGGAUGCUACGAUUGAUCGGGUGAUGGAUUUGACUGAUUGUUGUCACUCUAAUUCAUGUUGAUUUUUCUUCUAGGAUUGUGGAGGAGGAUUCUUUGAUCGGUUGGUGAUGGUCUUGAACUUUGAUAGAUCAUCUUUGUCUUCUCUGCGCGACAUCUUCAGAAGCAGAUCCGAGAUGGUUUUGAAGAAUUGGAAAGUCUCAUAACAUACCUCCACAAGUUCGUGUUCUUCGUAAUCCUCCUGGUUCACCAUCUAGAUAUGGUGCAAGCCAGUGUCGUUUUGCAAGUGUGGAUCGGAGGACCUUGCUCUGUCCAUGAUAGCAACGAUCCUCUCUCUCUCGGAACAACCUAUCUUAUGCAAUUUGCAAGGAGAGCCCACGAGAGGAUAAUAAGAGUCAGAUGAAUUUUAUUUAUAGAGUUAAAGAGAUGUUGGAGGACAACAGUUGGCUCAUGAAAUCCGGAGGGAUCUGUGCUCGCUGCUGGUGCAGAGGAUGGGACUUUGAAUGGCCUAGCUUGCUUGAAAGCAUUGCUUAAUGGUGGUCCACUUUGCCGGGUUUGGGAGGUGAGUGCUUCUACUGCUGUUCUCAGUCUAUCAAAGGAGAAGGUCGAGAUGUUUGCCUCCUGUAGAUUUUACGGAGACAAUGAAGCCAAAUGAAAUUCUUUACAUUGCUGCAAAGACUUAUUGCACAGUGGGGUUUGCUCUGUUGUUGAAUCUUUCUCUUCAUCAUCUGUUUUGAUUUUAGAGGAUGCUUUGCUCGGUGGGUGAUGGUCUGAUGGAUCCUUGGUUUCUCUGUGCUACCUCUUCAGACCAUCGAGAUUAAUGUGUGUGAGGAUUUGAAGAGUAGAAAAAAAGACACUGUGAAAGUGAAUGGUUUGCGUAUGAAGCUAGACACAAUCUACUGCUUUGUUUAACUCAGGAUGCAAGCAUGCAAGGUUAUUGGUGGGAUGAGAGGCUUGACUGGAUUGCUUUGGGAAACCUCAUUGCUUGAUCCAUAUGAGGGUAUACACUUUGACGUGAUGCUAAUCUAUUGAUGUUCUGAUCUAUUUAACAAGGGGCAGUAAUCUUGCUCAGCAAUUCAGAUUGCCUUCAGAUGCAGAGCUCUCCCGACCUGACUCUAGGACGUGAAUCUAUUGAGCUUGUGUGGCAAAUUUGACAUAGCAGGUGAGUUAUAAGUCUGUAAUGGUGGACAACAUGAUUGACACAGCAGGGUCUGUCUGAUUUUGCAAACCAAUUCUUUUUUAAGCUUGCUUAUGGACCGACGUGGUUAUAUAUGGGAAGAGUACACUCUUAAAUCAUUACAACAUGAUGACAAAGUAACACGGACAUGCGACAGAUUGUGGAGGAUGCUUUGCUCGAAGGUUAAUGGUUUUGACGAUGGAUCGUUGUCUUCUCUGCGCUACAUCUUCAGGGUAUACACUUUGAGGGGCUUGUCUUGAUGCUAAUCGAUUGGUGUUCUGAUCUAUGUAAUCGAUCACUGUUGAUAAGGGAUGACUGGAUUACGCUAGGAAACCUUAUUGCUUGUUCUUGCUGUCUACACACGUUAUGAUCGACAGAUUCUUUCCUACAUGAAUCGUGGAGGCACGGAGGGGGACUGAUAUGAUAAAUUUCGUACCUUUAUGUGUGUGUUUUGAUUGCUACCACAGGCUUACAUCAUUGUCCGUGGUUAUGCUGGCUGGAAUUCUAGGUUUGCCUUGAAGGUCUUCCCAAAGUUUAUCUUGAACUUGAAGGAUGCCUUUUAUCUGUCGUCGCCUUCGGUUCCUGUUACCUCUUUGAAGAUCAUGAGGAACUAGGAUUACUGUGUGGGAGGUUCGAAGAGAAAGAAAAAACAUUAUGAUGUUGUUGCUGUGUACACACAUUCAGAUGAGAGAUGGAUGAUCCACAGAUUCUCUCCUACACGAAUCGUGGAGGCACCGGGGAGGACUAAUAUUAUAAAAGUUUGUAUGUGUUUUGAUUGCAUAACCACAGGUUGACAUCAUUGUUUGUGGUUAAUACUGGUUAUGCUGAUUGAGAUUUUAGGUAUGCCUUGAAGCUCUUAGACCAAGUCUUCCCAAAGGUCUUAGACCAAGUCUUCCCAAAGGUACACUCUCUUCCCAAUGUCCAAGAAGAGCACCUCCAGGUUUCGCGCCAGCCAACACUGCAGCCAAGCCAUAUAUGUCCAAGGAGAUGGCCUUGUUAGCCUUCAAUCGGGCUCUUACUUUAAGCUAACUAAAACCAGAGGUUUGCUUUUUUUUACAUCUUCGCAUAUAAUUUGGUCUCAUCCCUUCUCACUUCACCAUGUUGUUUCUUGUUGGAUUUGUCUAACUUCCUUAAAUCUGGUGUUUUUGGAUCUCUGAUUCUUGGUGUGGGUUUUAGAAAGAGCAAAGAGAAGUUGAAGUGCUGUCAAAAGAGUUGGCUCAUCGUCCGGCUGUGCCGUAGUUCAUGUCUCUGCUCUUUGUUUUUGUCACCUCUAGUUUCAUGAAUUAACAUUGCAGGAUGUACAAGUAUGGUAGCAUCAUUCCAUUAGAUGAUUCUUUGGGUUAUGCUGCAAAUUUUUCACACAUGCUGGGAUAUAAUAGUCCUCAGAUGAAAGAACUCAUGAGGCUAAUUUCACUAUCCACAGGUGCCAAGCAAAGAGCAAGUUGAGGUGCUGUCAAAAGAGUUGGCUCAUCAUGCGGCUGUGCCAGAUUAUGUAUACAAAGUUAUUGAUGCUCUGCCUUCGACAGUCCAAUGACUCAAUUUGCUAGUGGUGUUAUGACCCUUCAGGUGGAUGGCUCCCAGAGUAUCUAUCUAUGGUUCAAUUACUCGGCAAGGUUCUGAGCCAGCCAAGCAUUGUCCCCUAUCUUGAAGGAUAUUCUGCCACGAUCCAAGUUUACCAGGAAACAGCUGGAUUAACAGUUAAUGAUCAUCUUCGUUCAAGGAGGCCUUUGAAGAACGAUUGCGAGAAUAUCAUGUGAUGUGCACAUCCCUCGGCGGUAUUUCUGUCCCAGCUCUUGACAAAAGAUUGUCUUUGGGACUAGUUCCUAGCCCAAUCGAUUCUGUCACAGGGAGACAGAAUAACUGGUGGUGACUUUUUCACCUCCUGGAGGAGACUUUUCAGAUCAUGUGACUUCUGCUUCCCUUGGUAUUAUGCAUGUCUUCUGGGGUUUGGACAAAAAGAUUGCCCAGAGAAAAUAUUUUCCUUCUAUUAAUUGGUUGAUUUCCUACUCAAAGUAUUCAACGGCAUCGGAGUUUUUCUAUUAGAGGUUCAAUCCAGAUUUCAUCUAAAUCAGGACAAAGGCCAGAGAGGUGUUGCAGAGGGAAGACGGUCUUAAUGAAAUUGUCCAGGAUAUGACCAUAGUGAUUUGCGUAUAACGGAUCCAAGAUAUGUGUACUGAGUCCCUACUCUGCAAGUGAGGUAUCAUGUUUUCGCAUUUACGAGACUUUUAAACUGUCACAACAAUGGCUUCAGAGCAUCCUGAGGUUAAAGUGAAUCAGAUGCAGUGCUUCUUGGAGUCAUUGGAGGUUAUGUCUUCUCUCUUGUCCCAACUUAUGUAUUCCGCUCUAAAUUUUGUUUGGAAAAUACAGUUUCUCAUAUUUUCAUGUUGGUAUAAUUUAAGGGACAAAUGGGAUAACAAUGAAAAGCAUAUGAGGCCUGAGAAGGGGUUACUUCAGUUCAGCUUCGUGCAGGUCUCAAAGUCUUUGCAAAUCUGAGACCUGCUACAGUUCCGACUCAGCAGCAGAUCCGAGAUGAUUUGAAGAAUGGACAAAUUUAGCUAGCACUAGCAAACUGAUUAUGGAAAGUCAAUCCAUCAAAAAGCAAAAGCUAGAUGAUGCAAAAUCAAGACAGAUUCUCAAUCCAGAACCAGCAACGCUACUGGAUCUACAGGGAAAAAAAAAAAGCUGUAGUUUUAUGGCAACGUAACAUAUAAACCUCUUUUUGGAUCAGUUUGGUCCAAAGACAACAAAGUUGCAUACGUUAAGGAAACGUUGAACUUUUUGUCAAACAAUGGAAACUUCUUCUACUCGGUUCUGUGACUCGAAGGACCACUCGCGUUACCUACGUAACCAACUUCCAGGGAGUUGGUGAAACAUUUGGGAGAGUGGUGACUAUCGAAACAAUGGCUUAUUAUAUAUGGUCUUUUGGUGAGAAACAAACAAUAGAUAAAUGCAAACAUGCGAUGUCUAUACCUUUGCUUUGAUUGUUGAGACAUCAUUACACGAAAACUUUUAAGAUUGCACAGUUCUUGGCGAAGUCUAUCCCUUGCUUUGAAACCCAA